UACGGAGGAUCCAAGCGUUAUCCGGAAUCAUUGGGGUUAAAGGGUCCGUAGGCGGGAUAAUAAGUCAUUGGUGAAAGUCUGCAGAUCAACUGUAGAAUUGCCAUUGAUACUGUUGUUCUUGAGUGUUUAUGAAGUGGUUAAAAUAUGUAGUGUAGCGGUGAAAUGCAUAGAUAUUAAAGAGAAUACCGAUUGCGAAGGCAGAUAACUAAUAAAAUCCUGACGCUGAUGGACGAAAGCGUAGGUAGCGAACAGG
rnacentral:misc_RNA from 1 species